rnacentral:rRNA from 1 species
UAUCCUGUCUGAAUAUGGGGGGACCAUCCUCCAAGGCUAAAUACUCCUGACUGACCGAUAGUGAACCAGUACCGUGAGGGAAAGGCGAAAAGAACCCCGGCGAGGGGAGUGAAAAAGAACCUGAAAUCGUGUACGUACAAGCAGUGGGAGCACAGGUUUACCUGUGUGACUGCGUACCUUUUGUAUAAUGGGUCAGCGACUUAUAUUCUGUAGCAAGGUUAACCGAAUAGGGGAGCCGGAGGGAAACCGAGUCUUAAUUGGGCGUUAAGUUGCAGGGUAUAGACCCGAAACCCGGUGAUCUAGCCAUGGGCAGGUUGAAGGUUGGGUAACACUAACUGGAGGACCGAACCGACUAAUGUUGAAAAAUUAGCGGAUGACCUGUGGCUGGGGGUGAAAGGCCAAUCAAACCGGGAGAUAGCUGGUUCUCCCCGAAAGCUAUUUAGGUAGCGCCUCGUGAAUUCAUCUCCGGGGGUAGAGCACUGUUUCGGCUAGGGGGCCAUCCCGGCUUACCAACCCGAUGCAAACUGCGAAUACCGGAGAAUGUUAUCACGGGAGACACACGGCGGGUGCUAACGUCCGUCGUGAAGAGGGAAACAACCCAGACCGCCAGCUAAGGUCCCAAAGUCAUGGUUAAGUGGGAAACGAUGUGGGAAGGCCCAGACAGCCAGGAUGUUGGCUUAGAAGCAGCCAUCAUUUAAAGAAAGCGUAAUAGCUCACUGGUCGAGUCGGCCUGCGCGGAAGAUGUAACGGGGCUAAACCAUGCACCGAAGCUGCGGCAGCGACGCUUAUGCGU